rnacentral:tRNA from 1 species
GGGGGUGUAGCUCAGUUGGGAGAGCGCAUCGUUCGCAACGAUGAGGCCGAGGGUUCAACUCCCUUCACCUCCA